rnacentral:rRNA from 1 species
CAGCAGCCGCGGGAAUACGAAGGGGGCUAGCGUUGCUCGGAAUGACUGGGCGUAAAGGGCGCGUAGGCGGCCAUUCAAGUUAGAUGUGAAAGCCCUGGGCUCAACCUAGGAAUUGCAUUUGAUACUGUUUGGCUUGAGUUCGGGAGAGGUGAGUGGAAUUCCCAGUGUAGAGGUGAAAUUCGUAGAUAUUGGGAAGAACACCAGUGGCGAAGGCGGCUCACUGGACCGACACUGACGCUGAGGCGCGAAAGCGUGGGGAGCAAACAGGAUUAGAUACCCCCGUAGUCCCUGUCUCUUAUAC